rnacentral:rRNA from 1 species
GAUAAACGCUGGCGGCAUGCCUAAGACAUGCAAGUCGUACGAGAUGCCCCACUGAUAUUUGAAAGAAGUUGAAGAGCUUGCUCGGAUACCGAUUGAUUUUGGACGUGGAUUCUGCAUCUAGUGGCGAACGGGUGAGUAACACGUAGAUUAUCUACCUUUAAGUUGGGGAUAACAGUUGGAAACGGCUGCUAAUACCGAAUGUGAUAGUAAUAUUAAAGAAGCCUUCAAGCUUCGCUUAGAGAUGAGUCUGCGGCGUAUUAGUUAGUUGGUGGGGUAAUGGCCUACCAAGACGACGAUGCGUAGCCGAACUGAGAGGUUGAUCGGCCACACUGGGACUGAGACACGGCCCAGACUCCUACGGGAGACAGCAGUUAGGAAUAUUCGUCAAUGGGGGAAACCCUGAACGAGCAAUGCCGCGUGAAUGAUGAAGGCCCUUUGGGUUGUAAAAUUCUUUUAUUUGGGAAGAACAGCAGGAGUAGGAAAUGGCUUCUGUUUGACGGUACCUUUUGAAUAAGCUCCGGCUAACUACGUGCCAGCAGCCGCGGUAAUACGUAGGGAGCGAGCGUUAUCCGGAUUUAUUGGGCGUAAAGGGUGCGUAGGCGGUUUAUUAAGUCUAAAGUCAAAGCCCGAGGCUUAACCUCGGUUCGCUUUAGAUACUGGUAGACUUGAGUAUGGUAGAGGCAAGUGGAAUUCCUAGUGUAGCGGUGGAAUGCGUAGAUAUUAGGAGGAACACCAGUGGCGAAGGCGGCUUGCUGGGCCAUUACUGACGCUGAGGCACGAAAGCGUGGGGAGCAAAUAGGAUUAGAUACCCUAGUAGUCCACGCCGUAAACGAUGAGUACUAAGUGUCGGGCAACCGGUGCUGAAGUUAACACAUUAAGUACUCCGCCUGAGUAGUACGGUCGCAAGACUGAAGCUCAAAGGAAUUGACGGGCACCCGCACAAGCGGUGGAGCAUGCUGUUUAAUUCGAAAAUACGCGAAGAACCUUACCUAGACUUGACAUCCCUGGCAAAGCUAUAGAAAUAUAGUGGAGGCUAUCCGGGUGACAGGUGGUGCAUGGUUGUCGUCAGCUCGUGUCGUGAGAUGUUCGGUUAAGUCCGCUAACGAGCGCAACCCUUAUCUUUAGUUGCUAACAUUUAGUUGAGAACUCUAAAGAGACUGCCGGUGAUAAACCGGAGGAAGGUGGGGAUGACGUCAAAUCAUCAUGCCCCUUAUGUCUAGGGCUACAGGCGUGCUACAAUGGCUGGUACAACGAGUUGCGAUACCGCGAGGUGGAGCUAAUCUCUUAAAGCCAGUCUCAGUUCGGAUUGAAGUCUGCAACUCGACUUCAUGAAGCUGAAAUCGCCAGUAAUCCCGAAUCAGAAUGUCGGGGUGAAUACGUUCUCGGGUGUUGUACACACCGCCCGUCACGGCAUGGGAGUCAGUAAUAUCCAAAAUCGGUAGCCUAACCCUUAUGGGAGGGGGCCGCUUAAGGUAGGACUGGCGACUGGG